ACCGUUUGCCUAGAGCGUGAAACGGAGCGGGUCGCGCGCCCCGGCGCUCCGGACGGAAGGAGAAGGCAGCGUGGCGGCCCCACCCCGAGUCCCUGGCAGCCCAGACCUGGCGAAGGGUGAAGAAGCCUGGCUCCAGAACUAGGUGGUCAGGGGGUCAGGUAGUAGGAAGCCACGGAGCCGGCUCUCCCGGGUGCCUCGCGCCUCCCGGCGCCGCCCAGCGCCCUCUGCCCUGGACCUGCAGACUCGACGUCUGGGUGGGGGCAAGAGUGUUCCGAUGGCGCCUCGGCUCGCGCUUAGCGAUCCUGCGCUCGCUCACUCUGCAGCGCCAGCCUCGGGAUUAGGGGAGAGGAGUGUAGUGCGGAGCUGUAUGCAGAAGAGCGUGCGGCCAGCGGAGACCG
rnacentral:lncRNA from 1 species